CGGAAUCCUGAGUCAUUAUCUAGACCCUCUCUUCGUUUCACAUCUCCAUCUUCCCGCUCUUCCGCGUCGUUCGCAGACCCGCCCACUUCUCCGUCCGUUGCCUCAUUGGCCUUUGUGUGCGCGUGUGGGCGAGUGCGCUGUAGCUCGGUCGUUCACUCCGUUCGUUUGGCGUGCGUGUGUCUUUGAUUAGGUCGUGAGCGUGCACGCAUCUCUUUGCCCCCUCUCCUUCCUUCUUAUUUCCCUGUUGCGUGCCGGUCUCUUUUUUUUUUGCUGUUGUUGCUGUUGUUGUUGUUGUUGUGUGUGUGUGUGUGUUUGCCUCUUUCUUGACACACACACACACACACACCUAUAUAUAUAUAUAUAAAUCUUUAUAUACAUAUAUGAAUGUAUAUAUAUAUAUAUCUCCCUCCCCAUAUAUUUCUGUAUGGUGUAGGCCUUGUUGCUGCUUUCCGUUUUUUUUUUCGCGCUUUUGCUUGAUCUCGUCCUUCUUCAGGAGUGGUUCGCGCCUAUUUUCUUCGCAUUGCUUUUCUUGUCUUUUUGCUUUACGUUUGGUGAUUCCUCGCGCUCGUGCACACCCACGCGCUCUCUUCGACAAGCAGCACUGCAGCACACAUACCGAGAGGCGGAGCAGAAGCAGACGCACAUACACCCAAUUUGCAUUGUACGAGUACCCCCGCACCUCGUCAAGUGGCUUUGUUGCUUCUCUUGCCCUCCUUGGUAGAGCCCUUCAUAACGCGCACCCGCUUUUUUUUCCUUCGCGCCUCAGUAACUGCUGUAAUACGCACGUGUCUGCUUGAGCCGUGUGCGAGCUUUACUCGGAUCUCGUCUCCCCCAACGUUUACAGCUUCAUUCUCACAGACAUCGCGGCGCAGAAGAGGAGGGAGACCCAUCACAAGGGUGGGCAAAAAAAAGUACUGCGUUGUGUGUGUGUGUGUGUAUGCUCGUGGGAUUGAGGGCCGGCGGGUCCAGCUCGAUUCGAGGAGAGCAAAAAGAAAAGUGCCUGUGACGAUCGCCUCUGCAUCACGACAGCGCCGCCGUUUGUUCAGUUGGCCUCUGGCGGAGCACAAACUCUCAAAAGAAGGGAAAAGAAGUAGGCAAAGAAGAAGAGAAAGGUGAAGGCGGCCACGGACUCCUUCACCUCACCCACCACGAUCGACUUUCAGUGGCUGAGCGAGGAGCAGUAAAUUAGUCAUCGCGAACGCUCCCUCAUCCGGUCUCUCUUUUUUUGUCUCCCGUGAGCUUCCCUUUCCUGCAUCCCGCUUUCCUCUCUCAAGAUCUCUCUCGCUUGUGCAGCUCCACGGGGUGAGGCUUUAGCGUGGUUUUCUUCGCAUCUUCAACGCAUGCGCGUGUGCAGCUGUGCAGCAUCACUGCAUUUGGUUUUUGUGCGAUCGGUUUUGCUGAGUUUUGGCUGCUGUGUCGGUCUCUGUGCGGUGGCGUUCUACAAAACACCCCUUUUUUUUCUAUCUGCUCUUGCGAUAUCUGCACUCUACAUUUUCUCUGCUGUUUUUCGGGGCUGUUUUCGUAGCCCGGCAACCGUAGUAGAGGCACGUAGCAGCAGCGCUCCGGUGGUGCAUCUCCGCUGCGCCGUUCUUCUUUGCUGAACUUUGUACGUGCACUCGACCUACUCACCCGCCUACCCUGAACAGCAGCAGUGCGUGGAUGGAGUACCUAGAUAAUCUCUUGAACAGGAAGAUCGAGCGGGAGCGGCUCGGCGCUGGCGGUGCUGACGCGUCUUCAUCGUCUGCGGCUUCAGCGGCCGGAACUAGCAGCAAGCAUGUUGAUGGACACGGCGCUACCGGAGAUAGGCAGCUCAAGUCUGCGGCACUGCGACUGUGUUGGCUCUGCAACCGAACAAGUCCCUUGCGCUUCCGUUUACAAGGAGGCAUCCACCUCUGCUUUACGUGCUUCCGGGCCUCGUACUUGUCGCUGCUCCUCCCCAUCAUCAACACACCUGCCAGACGCGCGAGUGACGCGAGAUUCUUGAAGCUGAUCGGCAGCAUUGAAAACGAAAGGGCGGGGUCCGUGUCGUCUCCAACUGAUGAGCUACUCGCCAGCAUGUACGGUGAGGUAAUUGAGCCACAGCAGGCAUCGUUCGUAAUGAGCUCGUCCAUGAUGCGGCUGCGGCGGGAGGAGGAGGAGCAGCGCCUACUGUCGGCCACGCGGCGCCCUCGCAGUGGUGGUGCCGCCAGCUCCGCGAAGAGCGUUAAAUCCUUUUGGAAUUGCCCCCUGUGUACCUUCCUGAACGCGGCCGUCGCGCGCGAGUGCGAGGCGUGCGGGUUCGUCAAUCCUGGCGAGGUCACCUGCCCCGUCUGCAAGGCUCGCUGCUCCCUCGGCAUGAUAGGCACACCGUUGUCCGAGGAGAACCCCGCCAGCAGGUGCAAGACCGGCGAGCCGCAUUGCAUCUGGAACUGCCGCGAGUGCGGCGGGCUUAACACCCUCGACGGUGACCGUUGCACGUCGUGCCGCCAGCCGCGCUACUGGGCAUGCUCGCAGUGCACGGCACUGCACCACAUGGCGCGCGGCGAGGAUGGCUUGCGCUACUGUCCCACCUGCGGCGCGUACAACACCCCGGAUGACAUCUUGGUUGGCCAGGCAAAGAUCGACAAGGAGACCAGGUAUGCGGGUAUGGUGACGGCGCAGCAGAGUGCGGCGCAGCGGCGCAAGAGCGGCAGCAAGGACCAUGACCACAACCGCGGUGGCUCACGGGCUGCAGCAGGCGGUGCUGCCGCGGCGAAAGCCGACGACCAAAUCGUCUUUGGCGUUAACGACGCCCAUACGCUGGAGGAGCUGGAGCGGCAGAAGCAAAUCGAAAACAAUGAAAAACGGCUGCUUUCCCGCCUGAACCGGCUGCACAUUUCCCGAAACCUGCAGAAGACGGACGGCAACUGCCUCUUCCGGGCUCUGGCGAACCAGCUCUUUGGGCAGCCACGGCUGCAUUACCUCGUCCGCUCCCUCGCUACCGCGUACAUGAGCGAGCACUCGGAAGACUACGCCAUCCUCUUCGACGGCCCGGCGGAGUGGAAGAAGUACCUGACAGCGAUGAAGGAGCAGGGAACCUGGGGUGAUGAGCUAUGCCUCAACGCUGCCGCCCGUUGCUUUCGGGUUAACAUCCACGUCAUCACGAGCGACCAGGAGCGCUGGCACAUUGUGUUCCAGCACGACCAGCUAGGGCGCACGCGCACGGUUCGCAGCGACGAGGAUGCGAGGACGAACAACAUGGCGCAGACUUUGACCAGUUAUGAAGGUGUGUCGCUGUUUCUCGCCUACCUCUCCCCGGUGCAUUACGACGACAUCACUCCCUUGCCCGUAGCACACCUCCAGCUCGGCGAGCUGCUCAGCGGGGAGCUGAACAAGCGCAUGAAGCGCAAUCAGACGACACACAGUCCCAGUGACAGUGGUAGCAGCACUUCUGCAUUAGCAUCAGCAGGCCCCAGCAGCGGCGGCCGCUGGGCAGAUGCUUCGAACUUUUCACACCUGCCUUCCCGUCCGCUUCUCGCGGACCCGGCUAAACCGCGCACGAGAUCGUCUGAUGACCUUGUCAAGUCGUGCCUGGAGUCACCGACCGUGUCAAACGCGACGGCGCCACCGGUGCCACGCUCGCGGCCGCAUUCCUGCAAGCCGGACACAUACAAGAGCUCGGAGCCGCCGUCGCGGCCCCCGCCGACUUCGCCGACUAGCUUGCCAAGCGAGUACACAUGCUAGUUGCCAUUCUGCGCCCAGCGUGCGGAAGGGGAGUGGGGAGGAGGACGAGACGCCAAAGAGAGCACAGCCAGGGAACGCGCUCACGUGUGUGCGUUCGCCUUCCGCUUAUUUUCAUUGUGGGUGCGCGCAGCAACGUGCUCGCACGGGUGACAUACGAAAAAGGUGACUCUGAUAGACUUGUGGCCUCACCGAUCCCUCGACGUGUCGAACACGACUCUUGCGACUGUCUCUCGCUCUCCGCGUGUGUUGGGGCUCUUCUGACCUUCCCAUACUGUUACCUGCUUCUCCCUUUCCAAUGCUGUCUCUCUCUCUCUCGGACAUGCACAUCCUUGUGAUUGCUUUGCCGUUGAUUUCUCUCUCUGUAUGUUCUUUUUUUUUAUUUGUUUUGCCUCUCUUCUCUUGCUCGUGCUUUCGCUGCUGACUCUAUUUUCUAUCUCACGCACGCACACACACACACCGUUUCUCGUUGCGCUUCUAGCCUGUGAACUGACUGCAGGCGCGCGAAGAGUGCGGAAGAGAACGAAAGGGACUGUGAACGGGUGUUUUGAAUGGGGGUGUUGCGCGCGUGUUCAGCGGGGCGAAGAAAAAAGGGAUAGAAGAGCAAGAAUGGCCACCAGCAGCUGGCGUUGAUGUGCAAGGUGCCUGUGCAGUGCCAACAAGCCGACGCCGGUGGGCGCGUGCUCGUGGUUCUUGUUUGUGCGCAUACACGUGGCUGGUCUCUCCCCUCUCUCUCCGCUCUUCGCUUUUCUUAUCUGUCUCUCCUUCCUCAUGUCUCUGUGUCGUGUCACUGUUGCUCAUUUCUUGCCUGCUCUCUCUAUCUCUUUCUCUCUCUCUGUGUCUUCGGGUUUGCGAGCUGCUGUUAUUGAUGGGAGCGCGUCACACGAUAUGCUCCUGCAUUCGUCUUUCCUUCACGGAAG
rnacentral:misc_RNA from 1 species